rnacentral:rRNA from 1 species
AAAGGAAUAGACGGGGGCCCGCACAAGCGGAGGAGCAUGUGGUUUAAUUCGAUGAUACGCGAGGAACCUUACCCGGGCUUGAACGUAAGACGAAUAUAUAGGAAACUGUAUAGCCUUCGGGCGUCUUGCGAGGUGCUGCAUGGUUGUCGUCAGCUCGUGCCGUGAGGUGUUAGGUUAAGUCCUGCAACGAGCGCAACCCCUACACAUAGUUGCCAGCAUGUCAAGAUGGGGACUCUAUGUGAACUGCCUACGCAAGUAGUGAGGAAGGUGGGGAUGACGUCAAAUCAGCACGGCCCUUAUGUUCGGGGCUACACACGUGCUACAAUGGCAUGUACAGAGGGCAGCCACCACGUGAGUGGGCGCGAAUCCUCAAAACAUGUCUCAGUUCGGAUUGGAGUCUGUAACUCGACUCUAUGAAGUCGGAUUCGCUAGUAAUCGCGCAUCAGCCAUGGCGCGGUGAAUACGUUCCCGGGCCUUGUACACACCGCCCGU